rnacentral:tRNA from 1 species
AGUUGUGAAGCUUUUAGAGAAAUAUUAAGCGCCGAGCUUUUGAUUCGGAGGAAGGUGUUGCUUUGCCCAUAACUA